UACGUAGGGUGCAAGCGUUGUCCGGAAUUAUUGGGCGUAAAGAGCUCGUAGGCGGUUUGUCGCGUCUGCUGUGAAAACUGGGGGCUCAACCCCCAGCCUGCAGUGGGUACGGGCAGACUAGAGUGCGGUAGGGGAGAUUGGAAUUCCUGGUGUAGCGGUGGAAUGCGCAGAUAUCAGGAGGAACACCGAUGGCGAAGGCAGAUCUCUGGGCCGUAACUGACGCUGAGGUGCGAAAGCGUGGGGAGCAAACAGG
rnacentral:rRNA from 1 species